CAGCGAUGUUGUCUAGGGUGCAGGUCCUUCAGGAGAGCACCUGAUUGAGUCCCUUGAGGCCAAAACCUGAUGCUUAGCUUCUCAGUGUCAGAAACUGGCUUUUCUUAGUGCACAGAUAAGAGCAGACUCAUGGUGAUGGAUUUCCUCUCAAGGCUAGGUUAGCCAUCACAGCCAACGUAGUAGCUCACACUGCAUGACAUCCCUUUCCAGACAGCAGACUAUGAGCAUCCACUGCCCAAGAUCUGUCCUCCAGCUGGUAUUGGGGUAGAAGGGAAGAAAAAUCAGCAGGCUGCUUAGCCCCUGUAGCGUGUGGCACCUGGCUUCUACAGCUUGGACAACUCCUCCAGUAUCCAGCUCCUGCAAUGCAAGCGACUUCUUCAACAUCAGGGUCCUGCUGAUGCAAGCCAGGAUAGAUGGCUUCUUUAGCAUCCAUCUCACCCAGUGCACGGUGGCCAGAAUCAUCCGAAGGCCAGCAGCCUCCCCUGGCACUCCCACUACAGCACAAAUCGUGGGCUGGUUAUCCUCCAUUUGCCACUGCAGAUCCGCCGUCCUCCAUUCUCCACCCUGCUCCACGCACCGGAAGGCUGACCUCUGCAGAGUCCUUGUUGCUCCACCUUCCAGCUCAGCUCCGGUAACGGGACACUGGAAGGAGAGGAGAGAGCAGGAGGAGAGAGAUUGUGCGUCGUGCCUCGUGCCUUGUGCUUCGGAAGCCUACCCGGCCACAGCAGACAUCUAGGCAGGCAGGCCCACAGGGACGGCCUCCUUACCGUCCUGGCUCCCUGAUGACAUCCCUGCAGGCUUCCCUCUUGAAUCAGCCACUGCGAAGUGAGGGCUAGGAGAGAACAGACGACACUUCUUGCCCCGACCGGUCUUCCCUUCCUGUUCUUUCCACCUUUGGCCGAGACACCACACAGAAGUGCAUUUUGGUUCUGUUUACAUUCUCGUCAGAAGGCGUGCUCACUUCCAGGCAGCGCUUCUCACACAGUGAGGGACGUAAAGAUCAUCUGGGGCCCUUGUUAAAGCACAGGUUCCGACUCGGUCAUUCUAAGGUGGAGCCUGAGACCGGGCCUUUCUAAGAAGCCCCUGAUCCCACGGGAUGGAAGGGGCCCAGUCCUGUAUUCUAGGCUUAGUGGGAUACUGCCGAAUCUGUGAAGAGGAUCAGAACUCCAGUGUCAGAAUUAAUCACUGCUCCCUUCGUUUCCCCAACACCUCGCUCAGACCUUGAUACAGCUGCUGACAGCUGGACUCGCCUGCACCUCUGCCGCCCCGGGGCUGCUGGACAAAUCAUCUUUGGAGCCCUAAUACCUGGCAUGGGGGAUGCUCAGCAGCUUUUUUGAAUAAAGGAA
rnacentral:lncRNA from 1 species